UGAGGAAUAUUGGGCAAUGGACGAGAGUCUGAACCAGCCAAGUAGCGUGCAGGAUGACGGCCCUAUGGGUUGUAAACUGCUUUUGUUUGGGAAUAAUCGACAUUACGUGUAAUGUUUUGCAUGUACCAUUCGAAUAAGGACCGGCUAAUUCCGUGCCAGCAGCCGCGGUAAUACGGAAGGUCCAGGCGUUAUCCGGAUUUAUUGGGUUUAAAGGGAGUGUAGGCGGUUGGUUAAGCGUGUUGUUAAAUGUAACUGCUCAACAUCUGACUUGCAGCGCGAACUGGCUAACUUGAGUACACACAACGUAGGCGGAAUUCAUGGUGUAGCGGUGAAAUGCUUAGAUAUCAUGAAGAACUCCGAUUGCGAAGGCAUCUUACGGGAGCGUUACUGACGCUUAAGCUCGAAGGUGCGGGUAUCGAACAGG
rnacentral:rRNA from 1 species